GGAACAGGGAGGGCUCCCUAGCUAUAGGGCUAAAGAGAAUUCUGUGCUGGGGAGGGCACUGCUGCAGCUGGAAGAAAGGAGGCUCACUGGUGGACUGUGGUGGCUUUCCCCCUUGCCUCUUAAGAAGCAAUUUGUAACUAGCUUUCCUCCACCAUGUUCUCUCACUGCCAAAGCAAACUUGUCAAUAGAAGUCUGGUGUUUAGAUGCAAAAAAGAUGUACGUCUAAUUAAAUGUGAAGCUGGUUUGUGAGAAAGGAACGUAUUGAGAAGCCACUAAAGAGCAUCACACAGAGUGUAAAGAACUGGAAGCAAAUGUUUGAAGAAAAGAAACAGCGUGGUUAUUAUGACUUCAAGCCACAAACAUUGCGGUAGUGAAGCAAAUGGUCUCUCACACAAUGAAUGACAGGAGGCGGUAGAUGGAGGGACCUGUGGUGUCUGGUUGUGCAGCUCCUGCUGCACGGAUACUAUGGUUUUGCCCAACCUCAUUCUUAAACAUGGAGACAUCAGUGGCAAUGACCCCAGGACCCUGGCAGUCCAAGGAAAAAAGGGAACAGAUGUGUGGGCCGUGCACCUGGCUUGUGGCUAUGGCUGAUGAAGUUCAGUACUUCGGGAGCCACAAGCUGAGGGCUGUAUGCUGGUAGUUGUAUCUCCCAAUGCAGAGAAGCUGCUUCUGUCUUGUACUGCACCACAGGCAUGGUGCCUGCAAUGCAGGCUUAACCACAACAGAUUUUUUUUUCCUGUGGUCCAGAGGCUAAACCAGAGCUGCCAGUGGUUUUGCUGCAAAAAUGAUACUUGCCAGGCAGUAGAUUAGGCUGUGCUGCUGGGUUUGCACUCCUCCCUCCGCUUGUCAAGCUCUCUAGCUACAUUCUGCCGAGCUCCCACAAGCAUGGCCUGCUCCCCAUCCCUCAGCACCCUGGUCCUACCUCUGUAAUCACUGACUUUGUUUUAAAAAUUAGGUAUAAUCACGUUUAUCACCAAAUAAUGUGUGCACGUGACCAGUGAGGUCAAGACCAUAGUGAAGUUUCAAGAUAGUAAAAUUCUUGCUUUCAUGAACUUUCAGAACAUGCAGAAUUCAUUCAGAUUAUUGGAGGG
rnacentral:lncRNA from 1 species